CCCACAUUCCAUCUGCCUUCUAACAAGGUAGCUCUCCUCCACAAGCAGGGGCUUUUCUCUGGCCAUUCUUUCUCUUGACACAAAUCCAGGUCAUCUGAGAAGGAGAGGCACAGCGGAGCCUUUGCGCCAGAUCCAAAUUUAGAUGCCGGUUUGGCUCUAAAUGACUUAGCCUUUAAGGGUAUUGUAAGCCAAGGGUGUGAUGUAAAUGAAGAAAACUACGUGUAUUUGAUGAGGAAUUGAAAAUAUGUUCCUUCAGACACACGCUCCCUAAUGUGAAGAACUUGAAUCGUUUCCAGAACUUUGUGGAAGUAGUACAUAAACCCUACCAGGAGGGUGCUUGGCACAGGACAGCUCUACUUUGCUCUCCAUUUCAUUGCAUGUCAGACUGUACAGGCUGCUGAAGCCUUUGCCAGCAGGAAUGAAGACAUAUAGAAGCCAGAAAGAGCAAUUCAGCUCAAUUUCCAAAAGGAGGAAACCCAUUAAACUACAUCAAAUGCAGCUGUUUUUAACCAAAUAAAAACCAGCAGGCCAGCAGCACAAGCGAGAGGACUGGCAGAGCAAGCAAGCAAGCAAGAGGACAGAAACAGCAUGCCUAAUGAGCCACCGCAACUAUAACAGGAGUAGCUACAGGGUGAAACAAACCACAUCGACGAUGUAUGUCAUGUCUUGCUUUAAAGGACCCUGAAGCAUUUUUUUAAAAAACACACCAAACAAACUGUAUACUGGUACAAGUGUGACUUUAUCACCCAUUACAGAACCACUGCAGAGAGGUACAGAGCUAUUCUUUUACAGCUCACAGCUACACUAUGCAAACACUUUAGGACAUAUAAAUUGUGCCUACCUGGGGAGAUUUAGAGAGGGACACGUUAAGCUCUCAGGCAGGUCUUUGGCUGUGUAAAAAGGUUUAUUUCCACAUUUUCCCCAUAAAGAGCCCUCUGCUAUUUUAAAAGCACACAAAGCAAUCAAGAAAGGAGAUUGGAACAAAAUGUCCAAAACAUUUUGCUUCAGUAAAAUGCUGAUAUGUGAACAUAUAGCAGAAACUCUUUUAUCAAAUACUGAGUUACAAAAGCUGUUGGGUAUCCAGGAUACUAAUGUUUAUUAUAUGCAUUGAAGUUCCAAUUAUCUGUACCUCCGGCUGUCUGAGAGUUCCUCCAGAUGACCUGUUUAUUGAGCAUUCAUCCUGAUUUGCUUGCACAAAGCUUACACAAAGGUUAAACUAUGUCCAGUCUUUAUUGAGCAUUUGUUAUGAGGAGGUCACAUGACAAUUAGCAUUCAUUUUGAAUUCAUUCUGAUUUGUCUCCAUUGUCAUUCUAUAUAUUUCCAUUAAUAUUUCAUUUAUCCCACACACUUUAGUGCAUUUUCCUCAUUGCAAAAAAGUAAUUUUAUUAAAAAGUAGAUUUGUUGCACCAUUGCAUCAGAGCACUUUAAUUGCACAAACCUAAAUCUCUGGUAUGCACUUAAAUCUCUCUUACAAAAUAUUGACAGUGAUUUGUAUGUUUGUAAGCCCUUGAAAAGAUAAUGACUUGAAUGCUAAGCAUGUAUAUUUGAGGACAGUAUUCCAUAUUUAGAACACAAUGGAAAAGGUCCUGUCUCUGACAGCCAACCCACCCAGCUUCUGAAAGUAGGGAACCCUGAGAAGGGCUUCAGCUGCAAUCAGGAAACAGUA